AUCCAUUCUCGGCCUUUUGGCUAAGAUCAGGUGUAGUAUCUGUUCUUACCAGUUUAAUAUCUGAUACGUCCUUUAUCUGGGGACAAUGUAUGACAUUGAUUCUUGGAGCAGGGAGAUAGAAUAGGAGCUUGCUUCUCCAUGUAUCAACCUGUAUUGCAGUACUUCUAGGAAUAGUGUAUCCCUU